AUUGAACGCUGGCGGCAGGCCUAACACAUGCAAGUCGAGCGGAUGAAGGGAGCUUGCUCCUGGAUUCAGCGGCGGACGGGUGAGUAAUGCCUAGGAAUCUGCCUGGUAGUGGGGGCUAACGUCCGGAAACGGGCGCUAAUACCGCAUACGUCCUGAGGGAGAAAGUGGGGGAUCUUCGGACCUCACGCUAUCAGAUGAGCCUAGGUCGGAUUAGCUAGUUGGUGGGGUAAAGGCCUACCAAGGCGACGAUCCGUAACUGGUCUGAGAGGAUGAUCAGUCACACUGGAACUGAGACACGGUCCAGACUCCUACGGGAGGCAGCAGUGGGGAAUAUUGGACAAUGGGCGAAAGCCUGAUCCAGCCAUGCCGCGUGUGUGAAGAAGGUCUUCGGAUUGUAAAGCACUUUAAGUGGGGAGGAAGGGCAGUAAGUUAAUACCUUGCUGUUUUGACGUUACCAACAGAAUAAGCACCGGCUAACUUCGUG
rnacentral:rRNA from 1 species